rnacentral:lncRNA from 1 species
CGAUCCACAUUGGGCGGGGGGGACCCACAGCCCUUCCCACUCAUCGUGCGAGGAGAAAGAGAACUGGGGUCCUCCGACUGGUCUCCCUGGAAGACCCGACGUGUGCGGCGGGGGGUGGGGGGAGGACGGGGUUUAGGGCGGGAGCCUGAGGCCCCCGAGGCCCCGAGAUCCGAGGCCCCGGGCCCCCCGCCCGGCGGGGACGCACCGACGGCCGCCGCGCGGCGCCCCGAGGCCUCCCCGGGCGGGAAAGCACCGGCUCGUCUCACGGUUUCCACCCAACCCGAAAGAGCGUCUCCUCUCCCUUCUGCACAAGGCCUGGAGCUAGCGGGGCCCCGCGGACGGCCGCGCGCAGCCCCCUCCCCCGGCCGCCGGUCCUGCGGACGCGCAGGCGGGCAGCGGGGUCCCCAGCGCGCCCCCGCCCCGCCCCGCCCCGCCCCGCCCCGCCGAGCCGCCCGCCGACGCUCUGGCUCCCGGGGCUCGGGCAGCGCGCACCGCCGGGGACGAGGGGGCGCACGCGGGCCGCGGCUCAGGCCGCCCGCCGGAAGCCCCCGAUUCCCGCGGCCUCGCUCCCGCUCCCGCUCCCCGCUCCCCGGUGCCGCCCGCGCGGCUGCCAGGUUUAGGACCGGGUCAGGCAGCCCCGCCCCCCGAGACACAGAGGGGACAGGCUGGGGCCUGGGGUCGCCGACCAGCCCGGACCCAGGAAUUCUCCAGAAUCCUCAGUCCUCUCGCACUCGCCCUGGGCCUCGAUCCCACACUCUCCCCAGCAGCAUCCGUGGAACCCAGCAGGAGGCGGGCGCCUACCCGGCUACCCUACCCUGCCGCGGCCCGUGUCAGGGGCGCCUGCGUGAGCGCCGCCGGCCUCCGCCUCGUUCCCACCGGGUGUCUGGGCCUGGACAGGCCCCCCUGGCCCCAGGCGCGGGGCACGCAGGGGGGCGUGGACGCGAUCCCCUCAUGCUUCAGUGGCUCCCACUAAGGUCCCCACCUUUCCAGAGUAUUCUCGCCAACAGAGCCUUACUGUCUGGGGGAGCUCCUUUGCAGACCCUCGGUGACCUGGACCAUCUCCAACGCGCCGACAGCUCCCCGGGAGCGGCUGGAUUUGAUCAAGCCGGAAGGAAGUCGUCGUUCUGUCUUGCCAGCGGGGUAUCUCUCGGAAAGCAGUGCUUUUAA